rnacentral:tRNA from 1 species
UAUGUUAAGUUAGUCUAAGCCUAAAGACAUCAGCUUGUGGAUUUGAAAAUGAAAUUUGUUUCACUUAAC